AUUGAACGAUGGCGGCAGGCCUAACACAUGCAAGUCGAACGAGUGGCGGACGGGGGAGUAAUGUCUGGGAAAAUGCCUGAUGGAGGGGGAUAACUACUGGAAAAGGUAGCUAAUAACGCAUACCAUCAGAAGUGCCCAGAUGGGAUUAGCUUGUGGGUGGGGUAACGGCUCACCAAGGCGGCGAUCCCUAGCUGGUCUGAGAGGAUGACCAGCCACACUGGAACUGAGACACGGUCCAGACUCCUACGGGAGGCAGCAGUGGGGAAUAUUGCACAAUGGGCGCAAGCCUGAUGCAGCCAUGCCGCGUGUAUGAAGAAGGCCUUCGGGUUGUAAAGUACUUUCAGCGGGGAGGCGUUACCCGCAGAAGAAGCACCGGCUAACUCCGUGCCAGCAGCCGCGGUAAUAC
rnacentral:rRNA from 1 species